rnacentral:ncRNA from 2 species
UAUUUCUUCUAGCGGAAAGGUUUUACUUAACGUAGAUUAAUAGGGAAUUGUGUGCAAAUCACAAGCUGUCCCGCAACUGUAAGUAACGCACAAAAGUUUUUACCCAUUUUGUCCACUGCCUAAAGCGGGAAGGGCGGUAAAAAUGUUACAAGUCAGGAGACCUGCCUUAUCUGUAUUGACAGU